rnacentral:ribozyme from 1 species
UGCCCAGCAACUCCUAUCCCUACCUCCUCGCGGUACUGGCCGGGGUACAAGUAACCUAGGGGUCCAAGUCUGUACUCCAUGUCAGGGGCGG